UUAAAGGCUGAGAACAGGAGGAGUAGCUCCCAAGCGGGAUCCAGAGAGGCCGGGUAAGGUGGAAGCCGGCUAUCUGCGCAGGGAGUGAAUGGGCCUGGGAGCUGCAUACUGAAAGGGAAGAUAAUGUUCUUCCUGAGUAAGCUAUGCCGGAGUAGCCACCGUUAUCAAGGCGAAGGGUAUCGGAGGCGAUGUGGUACUCCCGUACCCGAGAACGAGAUGGGCAAUGUAGCCCAAGAAAGGUGGCACCGCGAGAGUAAACCCUCUCGCCCUUUUA
rnacentral:ncRNA from 1 species